UACAGAGGUCUCAAGCGUUGUUCGGAUUCAUUGGGCGUAAAGGGUGCGUAGGUGGCGCCAUAAGUCAGGUGUGAAAUCUCGGGGCUCAACCCCGAAACUGCACUUGAUACUGUGGUGCUCGAGUACUGGAGAGGAGAUUGGAAUUUACGGUGUAGCAGUGAAAUGCGUAGAUAUCGUAAGGAAGACCAGUGGCGAAGGCGAAUCUCUGGACAGUUACUGACACUGAGGCACGAAGGCCCAGGGGGAGCAAAACAGGG
rnacentral:rRNA from 1 species